GUAGGGUGCAAGCGUUAUCCGGGAAUCAUUGGGCGUAAAGAGCUCGUAGGCGGUUCAGCAAGUCGGCUGUGAAAUCCCGAGGCUUAACCUCGGAACUGCAGUCGAUACUGCUGUGACUAGAGUCCGGUAGAGGAGAAUGGAAUUCCCGGUGUAGCGGUGAAAUGCGCAGAUAUCGGGAGGAACACCAGUAGCGAAGGCGGUUCUCUGGGCCGGUACUGACGCUGAGGAGCGAAAGCGUGGGUAGCAAACAGGAUUAGAUACCCUGGUAGUCCACGCCGUAAACGUUGGACACUAGGUGUGGCGUUCCGACCAACGGGUGCCGUGCCGAAGCUAACGCAUUAAGUGUCCCGCCUGGGGAGUACGGCCGCAAAGGCUA
rnacentral:rRNA from 1 species